CCCAUUCUACUUCCCGUGUCAGCAUCAGAGAACAAGUGCAAGAUUGCAAGGACAAAUUGGAAACGGAUUUUCACUUGGAGGUCGUGACAGCUGCCUACCUGCACAUUGGGGGACCAAUAGAUUUCACUCAGCCACCUGUGACAGCAGAUAAACCAGACUUGGACGGCAGGCUGUGCCAGCGGCACCAGUUUCGGUCCUUCUCUUCACACGCCCACCGGCAGGCC